AGGCGAUGGUUGCAUCUGCUCGG
rnacentral:siRNA from 1 species